UACAGAGGUCUCAAGCGUUGUUCGGAUUCAUUGGGCGUAAAGGGCGCGUAGGCGGCGGGGCAAGUCGGGUGUGAAAUCUCAGGACUCAACCCUGAAACUGCACUCGAUACUGCUCUGCUUGAGGACUGGAGAGGAGACUGGAAUUCACGGUGUAGCAGUGAAAUGCGUAGAUAUCGUGAGGAAGACCAGUGGCGAAGGCGGGUCUCUGGACAGUUCCUGACGCUGAGGCGCGAAGGCCAGGGGAGCAAACGGG
rnacentral:rRNA from 1 species